rnacentral:rRNA from 1 species
UACGUAGGGGGCAAGCGUUGUCCGGAUUCAUUGGGCGUAAAGAGCGUGUAGGCGGCCAGGUAGGUCGGUUGUGAAAACUGGAGGCUCAACCUUCAGAGGUCGACCGAAACCAUCUGGCUAGAGUCCGGGAGAGGAGAGUGGAAUCCCUGGUGUAGCGGUGAAAUGCGCAGAUAUCAGGAAGAACACCCGUGGCGAAAGCGGCUCUCUGGAACGGUACUGACGCUGAGACGCGAAAGCGUGGGGAGCGAACAGG